GGCUUUUUGGGGUGAGAAAAAGUCAGGCCUGCUCCCUGAGGAAUUUAAGAGCCGCGGUAUUUUGACUGUGCGAAGGUAGCAUAAUCAUUUGUCUAUUGAUUGUAGACUGGAAUGAAGGGUUAGAUGGAAAAAGGCUUUAUAUUUAGUUAUAUUUUGAAAUUAGAAUUAUUAUAAGAAUAUAAUAGAAAAAGUGAGGGACGAGAAGACCCUGUUGAACUUAAUUAGGUUAGUUUAAUUAAAAUGUUAACAGACGAUUAUUAGAUGGGACUGGAAUUUUACUGGGGCGGUAGAAAUAAGAACUAAUUUUAUUUUGGGGAAUUAACAGAUUUUAUGGGAAGGUCUAUAGUUAUACAGAAGGAAAAGUUACCACAGGGAUAACAGUGUAAUGGGUCUGGAGAGUUCAUAUUGAUAGAUUAUAUUACAACCUCGAUGUUGAAUAAAAUAACUUUUUAGUGAAGGAGCUAAAGAAGUAAGUCUGUUCGACUUUUAAAUUUUUACA
rnacentral:rRNA from 1 species